rnacentral:rRNA from 1 species
GGAUGAGCCCGCGGCCUAUCAGCUUGUUGGUGGGGUAAUGGCCUACCAAGGCGACGACGGGUAGCCGGCCUGAGAGGACGACCGGCCACACUGGGACUGAGACACGGCCCAGACUCCAACGGGAGGCAGCAGUGGGGAAUAUUGCACAAUGGGCGAAAGCCUGAUGCAGCGACGCCGCGUGAGGGAUGACGGCCUUCGGGUUGUAAACCUCUUUCAGCAGGGAAGAAGCGCAAGUGACGGUACCUGCAGAAGAAGCGCCGGCUAACUACGUGCCAGCAGCCGCGGUAAUACGUAGGGCGCAAGCGUUGUCCGGAAUUAUUGGGCGUAAAGAGCUCGUAGGCGGCUUGUCACGUCGGAUGUGAAAGCCCGGGGCUUAACCCCGGGUCUGCAUUCGAUACGGGCAGGCUAGAGUUCGGUAGGGGAGAUCGGAAUUCCUGGUGUAGCGGUGAAAUGCGCAGAUAUCAGGAGGAACACCGGUGGCGAAGGCGGAUCUCUGGGCCGAUACUGACGCUGAGGAGCGAAAGCGUGGGGAGCGAACAGGAUUAGAUACCCUGGUAGUCCACGCCGUAAACGUUGGGAACUAGGUGUGGGCGACAUUCCACGCCGUCCGUGCCGCAGCUAACGCAUUAAGUUCCCCGC